rnacentral:rRNA from 1 species
AACGAACGCUGGCGGCAGGCCUAACACAUGCAAGUCGAACGCUCCAGCAAUGGAGAGUGGCAGACGGGUGAGUAACGCGUGGGAACCUUCCCUAUGGUUCGGAAUAGCCCAGGGAAACUUGGGGUAAUACCGGAUAAGCCCUUCGGGGGAAAGAUUUAUCGCCAUUGGAUGGGCCCGCGUCGGAUUAGCUAGUUGGUGGGGUAACGGCCCACCAAGGCGACGAUCCGUAGCUGGUCUGCGAGGAUGAUCAGCCACACUGGGACUGAGACACGGCCCAGACUCCUACGGGAGGCAGCAGUGGGAAAUAUUGGACAAUGGGCGCAAGCCUGAUCCAGCCAUGCCGCGUGAGUGACGAAGGCCUUAGGGUUGUAAAGCUCUUUUGGCGGGGAAGAUAAUGACGGUACCCGCAGAAUAAGCUCCGGCUAACUUCGUGCCAGCAGCCGCCGUAACAC